AUUGAACGCUGGCGGCAUGCCUUACACAUGCAAGUCGAACGGCAGCACGGGUACUUGUACCUGGUGGCGAGUGGCGAACGGGUGAGUAAUACAUCGGAACGUACCUUAUCGUGGGGGAUAACGCAGCGAAAGCUGUGCUAAUACCGCAUACGCCCUGAGGGGGAAAGCGGGGGAUCGAAAGACCUCGCGCGAUUAGAGCGGCCGAUGCUUGAUUAGCUUGUUGGUGGGGUAAAAGCCCACCAAGGCGACGAUCAAUAGCUGGUUUGAGAGGACGAUCAGCCACACUGGGACUGAGACACGGCCCAGACUCCUACGGGAGGCAGCAGUGGGGAAUUUUGGACAAUGGGGGCAACCCUGAUCCAGCAAUGCCGCGUGAGUGAAGAAGGCCUUCGGGUUGUAAAGCUCUUUUGUCAGGGAAGAAACACCGGCUCUAACACAGUCCGGGAAUGACGGUACCUACGUGUCUGUG
rnacentral:rRNA from 1 species